UACGAAGGGGGCUAGCGUUGUUCGGAAUUACUGGGCGUAAAGCGCACGUAGGCGGAUAUUUAAGUCAGGGGUGAAAUCCCAGAGCUCAACUCUGGAACUGCCUUUGAUACUGGGUAUCUUGGGUAUGGAAGAGGUGAGUGGAAUUCCGAGUGUAGAGGUGAAAUUCGUAGAUAUUCGGAGGAACACCAGUGGCGAAGGCGGCUCACUGGUCCAUUACUGACGCUGAGGUGCGAAAGCGUGGGGAGCAAACAGG
rnacentral:rRNA from 1 species